UACGUAGGGGGCAAGCGUUGUCCGGAAUCAUUGGGCGUAAAGCGCGCGUAGGCGGCCCGGUAAGUCCGCUGUAAAAGUCGGGGGCUCAACCCUCGGAUGCCGGUGGAUACUGUCGGGCUUGAGUACGGAAGAGGCGAGUGGAAUUCCUGGUGUAGCGGUGAAAUGCGCAGAUAUCAGGAGGAACACCGGUGGCGAAGGCGGAUCUCUGGGCCGAUACUGACGCUGAGGAGCGAAAGCGUGGGGAGCGAACAGG
rnacentral:rRNA from 1 species